rnacentral:ncRNA from 1 species
CAUAGAGGUGCGGGAUCCAUCAGUAACCUGCCGCGAUAGACGAAAGGACGUCUGCUGCAGCGUGAAAGGGGCUUCCGCCGAAGGUGCGGUCAUCCUUUGGGCCAAUCCUGGGUCAUCACAGAAUAUGUGAUGGACUGUCACGUACGUGGAGCGCUAUCGGU